GACGAACGCUGGCGGCGUGCUUAACACAUGCAAGUCGAACGGAAAGACCCUGAUGUUGUGGGGUUGUCGAGUGGCGAGCGGGUGAGUGACACAUGUGUAACCUCCCCUUGACUAUGGGGUAACAUCUGGAAAAAGGGGCUGAUACCGCAUAGGAUCUCCUGCUGCGGAGUGGGGGUUAGAAAGUGUCGGCGGUUGGGGCUGGACUCGGGGCUUAUCAGCUUGUUGGGGGGGUAGUGGCUUACCCAGGAUUUGACGGGUAGCCGGCCUGUGAGGGUGACCGGCCACAAUGGGACUGAGAUACGGCCCAGACUGCUACGGGAGGCAGCAGUGGGGAAUAUUGCACAAUGGGCGGAAGCCUGAUGCAGCAACGCCGCGUGCGGGAUGACGGCCUUCGGGUUGUAAAACGGUUGCGCCUGUGACGAAGAGUGAGUGACGGUAAUGGGUAAAGAAGCACCGGCUAACUACGUG
rnacentral:rRNA from 1 species